rnacentral:rRNA from 1 species
CAGCCGCCGCGGUAAUACAGAGGUCCCGAGCGUUGUUCGGAUUCACUGGGCGUAAAGGGUGUGUAGGAGGUUGGAUAAGUCAGGUGUGAAAUCCCACAGCUUAACUGUGGAACUGCAUUCGAUACUGUCUGACUAGAGGAUCGGAGGGGGAAGCGGAAUUCUUGGUGUAGCGGUGAAAUGCGUAGAUAUCAAGAGGAACACCGGUGGCGAAGGCGGCUUCCUGGACGAUUCCUGACUCUGAAACACGAAAGCCAGGGGAGCGAAUGGGAUUAGAUACCCCCGUAGUCCCUGUCUCUUAUAC